rnacentral:misc_RNA from 1 species
UUUGUACACCACCGCCCGUCACACCAUGGAAGCUGGCAACGCCCGAAGUCAUUACCCCAACUUUUAGGAGAGGGGGAUGCCUAAGGCAGUGCUGGUGACUGGGGUGAAGUCGUAACAAGGUAGCCGUACCGGAAGGUGUGGCUGGAUCACCUCCUUUUAGGGAGACCUACCCAACUGUAAAAUCGGUUGCCAAAAGCAAGAUAGAGAAUACAGAUGGUCAAACCUAGGUCGGUCGCAGAAAAUUGUGUCAGCUUUCAAACUAUGGUUUGGUUCGUAUUGGGGCUAUUAGCUCAGGUGGUUAGAGCGCACCCCUGAUAAGGGUGAGGUCCCUGGUUCGAGUCCAGGAUGGCCCACCUGAACAAGUAAAAAGGAAAAAGCAAAAAGGAAAAAAAGAAUAACAUAAUUAUUUCUUUUGCCUUUUGCCUUUUAACUUUUGCCUUGUUGAUGGGGGUUUAGCUCAGUUGGUAGAGCGCCUGCUUUGCAAGCAGGAUGUCAGCGGUUCGAGUCCGCUAACCUCCACCUAGAAAGAAAAAAGAGAAGGAAAAAACAGCAACUAACGUGGUUAGACUGCUGGGAAAAAAAUCCUAGCCAGAACCUUGAAAACUGCAUAGAAACGCGAUUUAAUUGCAGGCAGACACAGACAUUGAAAGAUGAAAGUGAAUGCAGGUGAGACACCAAAUGUAUAGUGGUCAAGCGAAUAAGAGCUAAUGGUGGAUACCUACGCACACAGAG